rnacentral:rRNA from 1 species
GUGGGGAAUAUUGGACAAUGGGCGAAAGCCUGAUCCAGCCAUGCCGCGUGUGUGAAGAAGGUCUUCGGAUUGUAAAGCACUUUAAGUUGGGAGGAAGGGCAGUAAGUUAAUACCUUGCUGUUUUGACGUUACCGACAGAAUAAGCACCGGCUAACUACGUGCCAGCAGCCGCGGUAAUACGUAGGGUGCGAGCGUUAAUCGGAAUUACUGGGCGUAAAGCGUGCGCAGGCGGUUAUGUAAGACAGAUGUGAAAUCCCCGGGCUCAACCUGGGAACUGCCUCCAAAACUGCAUGACUAGAGUACGGUAGAGGGUAGUGGAAUUUCCUGUGUAGCGGUGAAAUGCGUAGAUAUAGGAAGGAACACCAGUGGCGAAGGCGACUACCUGGACUGAUACUGACACUGAGGUGCGAAAGCGUGGGGAGCAAACAGGAUUAGAAACCCCUGUAGUCC